ACUGUGUGUGUGUGUGUGUGUGUGUGUGUGUGUAUAAUACAUACACACACACAAACACACACACACACACAGUCA
rnacentral:miRNA from 1 species